rnacentral:rRNA from 1 species
CACGGAGUUAGCCGGUGCUUAUUCAUCGAGUACCGUCAAGUAAGUUAGAAAACCUACAUUUCGUCUUCGAUAAAAGAAGUUUACAAUCCAGAGGACAUUCAUCCUUCACGCGGCAUGGCUGGUUCAGACUUGCGUCCAUUGACCAAUAUUCCUUACUGCUGCCUCCCGUAGGAGUCGGGCCCGUGUCUCAGUGCCCGUGUGGCUGAUCAUGCUCUCACAUCAGCUAAUGAUCGUAGGCUUGGUGGGCCGUUACCCCGCCAACUACCUAAUCAUACGCACACCCAUCUUUAAGUGAUAAAUCUUUAAUAAUAAUUUGAUGCCAAACCAUUAUGCUAUGGGGUAUUACUCCAAAUUUCUCUGGGCUAUUCCCCGCUUAAAGGAAGGUUGUGUACGUGUUCCGCACCCGUUUGCCGGUCGCCGCCAAUCUAUUGCUAGACCGCGCUGCCCCUCGACUUGCAUGUAUUAAGCCUGCCGCUAGCGUUCAUCCUGAGCCAGGAUAC